GCCGGUAUAGCUCAGUGGGAGAGCGUCACUCUUACAAAGUGAGGGUCGGGGGUUCGAAUCCCUCUGCCGGUAC
rnacentral:tRNA from 1 species